rnacentral:lncRNA from 1 species
CAACUACUCUAGAUAAAAAAAAUUUCAGGAUCUCGGGCAACUCCAACACAAAGAUAUGGAGGUGUGAAAACUACCCUGAGUUGCUCCCAGAAAAGGAUGGUACGGCCGUGCUCGCUCGACUUGGCGGGUCGAUCUCUGCCCGCCAAGUCGAGAUUAAGUACCGUGUUAUGUUUCCCGAAAAUUCCGAUUGGACCGAAGGAAGAAUAACUGGUAAAGACGGGUCGAUCUCUGCCCGACACAGUUUUCCUCCGAGAAAGAAACCAGCUCCCUUCGGCACGCGUUAGCCAUAAAAUACCUAAACGAAAUCGGCCCGAUACCGCCCCGAAAAAUUCCCACGGACGGCCAGUGGGUCGGUGGUGGAAGAAAAUAAAACGGUCGGAUCGACCCCGGUAAUGAGGAGACGGGUGGCGCCUCCGCCUCCUAACUUCUUAUCCUCACCAUGGGCUUAUUUCUUUGGCUGGGGAUGGGCUAGGCUGACCCGCCUCGAUAACUUCUUUCCGGGCCGACCAUUAAUUGGCGGGGCACGGAGCGGCCCCGCCGUCCACCCUCGACCCGGUGCGGAGGCCAACCGGCCGGCUGGUAGUUAUCUGGGUGAGGAACCUUCACCGUUACCGAGUGUCCCUCUUCCGGUGGAAAACCGAAGCUUUCCUACCGACCACCUCCACGGUGGUAAGGCCGAACGAGUAGCUUCGGAUCUCGGGGUUCCGGCCUAGUCCACUCUCGUCCUCUGGCUGAACUUCUCUUCCUUGGCUGGGUCUGGGCUUCCGUGCCGCCCGGAUUACCCUCCUUCCACCCGUUUCGGUGGCUGGGAAGAAAAGCGGGCCGAGCGCGGCCGCCUCCUUCCGUCCUAUAGGUCGGUGUCGUCCUCCGUUCCGCAGUCCGGGUCCGGGGCCCGGCUCCGCCUCCUUUCCUUUCCGCCCGCCCACAGGGCGGGCGGCCUCUCGUCCCGCCGGAAUCGGAUAAUAUCGGACGGAAACGCGGCACGCUCGGCUACCCCGGUCUAAUUCGGCCCGGCUAAUGCGCUUACCGCGGUACUCCAGGCGGCGUAAUUAAAGACGGAGGGGAAAGAAUCGGUCCGCCCCUUCGGCCUGGACACGAUCUUCCACUUAAUUGGAACUCUUUCUUCCGCUCCGCUUCCCGGGGCGCCGACCGGGCGGAUGAGGGGGGCGGUGGUGGCCCCGCAUUCGUUCCACCCGUCCGGCCCCUUCGGCGGUCGACGGGAUUAAAGAUCGGCCGUUUCCUCCCCGGCCGAUGACAGACGCCUCGACUCUGGAACGGGCGGCGUGGCCGUCGGGCGCCGCCCAGAGGGAAACCGGUUGGAGCGCCCCGUAUCCGGGCCUGACAGGUAGCCAGGGGAUUGGUGGCCGACAGCCGACCGACGGUUGGUCCCGUUCGGCGCUACUCCCGACAAGUAUUAACUCCGUCUAACCAGAGCGGUGGCCGUCACCGACGCCACUGUCUUCGACGGUAAUUUUUCCCUCUUUCCGAUGCCUAGCGCUCCAGAGAAGAGAUAGGGCGAUACAUAUAUAUAAUUAUAUUUGUGCCAAAGAAAUAAGACGGCGUAAGAAAGACCUGGAUUCCCAGUGGAUGCGGAUUGCGCCGGAUGUGGAAACGAAAGGAGGCGUAUUUAACAUAUCCAGUAGCGGAUGAAACAAAAAUGCCGACGGUGACGAUAGUGUGUACAUAUAUAUAUAUUUUUAUAAUAUAAUAUAAUAAUAUCGGGACUCUACAAUAUCGAGCGAAAAAACUGCGCUAUCCCCAACCAAAUCGCAACCACUUUCUUCUCGGAUAUAGAGCCAGGUGCCCGACGUGGAUCUAUUUGGGCGCGUCCACUUUUCCCACGCUUUUCCAGCUAGUCCAGGUGCCGACCAGAGGCCACCAUCUCCACCCGUUGGAGCCCGGAAAGGGAACGACUACCGCCCCUUCGGACAGCCGUGGGUUACCCCGACGAUCGAGGGGCUGGGGCUAAAACCUUUACCAUUCCGUCUCCGUCAAUCGAGACUCUUAUUUGGCCAGUGGUGUAAGUCCACCUUAGGUCCAAAGACGAUAGCCGCGACUGGGCUAGUAACCAGAUAUAUUUAUUUAUUUAUUUGUGACUGAAAUAGUGGGCGUACUCGGAAGUUUAACCCAAAGAAAAGGAAGGAAGAAGUGGGAAAGACAGAGUUAAAGAUUCCUGCCGAAGAAAGUGGACGGGCCGCUAGUAGUAGUAGAUUUAGUGGUAGUAGUAGUAAUAAAAGCCACCAAAAUUCGACAUACAACUAGCGGACAAAAGAUUAGGCGACCGAUGCGAUGAAACGACCCAGCAAUCCAGACGACCGAGAUAUCGGAAUGAUAAAAGGUCGGUUGGAGAGUGUCGGUCACGGUGGAUACGCCGUCAAAUUGUUUGAUAUCGUAGACCAGUCUAAAAGAAAACUGGAGAGGAUAAGUUUUAGAUUCAGAUAUACAGCGGCGCUUCCCGCGCCAGUGGUGCCAGUCGGAACGUCAAAUGGCCACUAGCGGCCCGUUUCCAUACAAAAUGUCGGUAGUCGCGUUUUCUUAGUCGAAAGCCUGAGCGGAGGAUUGGUAACAUCGGUUGGAAAUCGAAAGUCGGUCUAGGUAGGCGCGAUCAACGCGGUCGGGAUAUUUCGACGGGCGAUACCGCGCGCCGAUCGAAGAAAUCGCCUACCGCGACGGUAGAACUGGCGCCGUGGAUGACUGUGGUACGGAAAACCGAAUAGCCGGCCAGACGUCGGCGAGUAGUAGGGAUAGGACGGAAGUCGAUAUUACUGGCGGUCCAACGGGAAAACCGACUUAAGGAUAGAGAAUGGGUAAUUCGGGACCACGGUAUUCCCGUAGAAGGGGAAAGGACGGUAAGUACGGUAGGAAGUGGGUGGACCAGAUUUGGCCGACGGGAUUUAUUCCGAGCGUGGGGGAGAAGGAGUGAUUGGGGCCAACCAAACGCCUACCUGGUCGGCCUGGCCGAAGGUGAACCGAUCGAUCCCAGGCGUGUCCGAGAUUCCACUCACCGUCCGAAAGCCCGCGCGUGACUCCCAGUCCAAUCCCGCGGGGCAGUAGUGGGCCAGCCGCCUUUUCUUAGCCACACAGACUUAUCCCGGUGCGUCUCCGGGAUAAGUCUAUGUGGGAGACGCACCGAGUGACGGACAGCUACCGGGAGGGUGCGGUACCGGCAGCCGAACGCCAGAGGGGCCAGCGCCUAUGGUCGGCCAUCGACCUUAACCUAGUGUCUGGAGCAAACGAGCGCCUUAGUAGAUCUCCCAAAUACACCCGGUUCUCUUUUUACGCCAUUUCGAUUUAACAUCAAAUUAGCAAAAAUAUUUCGUUUUCUUCUCGCGCCAUCUGUUUGGAUUUAACAGCAUCCAGCCAAAUUCUAAGAAAAUUUUUGGGUACGACGGUUUAGGCGGCGCCGGCUCGCCAGUCUUCGCCUCCGUCCGCUGAUUUUUGAUUCUAAUUACCAAAGAAAGUUCUGGGGAAACAAACUCCCUAUCCGAGUUAGGAGUAUAAUUAGGGGAAAUUCCCUAAUUAUACGCCUAACUCGGAUAGAGUUUUGUCCGUGUUUGGCGAUUGGGGUUUAAAACGAAAAGUAAAUUUUGAUGGCAUAAAAAAGUUUAAUGAAAGUUAAAAUCAAAAUCUGGUUACCUAUAACCGGUAUUAUUUUGCCCUUUACCGCUAAGUAACACGCUAUUUUUCUUUUCCAACCAUAUUUUAUCUUAUAUAAUAGAUUUUUAUAUACAGGCGCCACCUUUACCAAAUUAGAAAUACUAAAGAUUAUAAGACGGUUUAGUGUAUUUAUUAAUAUUUUUGGCCAUUUUUUAGACACCAUAUACACUACUUUUUAUACCUAUUCUCCGGCCACCUAUCUACGGCCUAAAAACAGAAUUAGCUCGGGCUAUUCCCGACAAAAAUGGUAGCUGGUAACUCCAGGCGGAAUUAACCGCCCCAGAAAUGUACCAGGGUACCGUUAGAAGGGCCGGGCGGAAGAGAGGUAGAUACACCGGCGAUACCUGACGGCCGAGAUGGACUUCUUUCUAUUCGUUCCAGUUUUUCGGUAACUGGCCCAGGGCCGCACCAUUCACCAGCCAUGUUACGGUGGCUGGUUCUACCAAUGACAACGACAACGUAAUGGAAAAUAAUUUCGACACCUACCGGUUGAGGUGGAGGCGGCCAAAAGAGAACUUUUGGCGCCGCUAAUAUCGGAGGCCGAAGAAAGGCUGGAAAGGGAAAAUGGCGCGAGUGCGUCGGAACGGUCGGCAGUGACUGACAACCUCAGCCACGCGUUACGGGAAUUCCACCGAUUCCGAGUGUACGCGGACGGACAUCCAUCCCCCUGGGAUUUUCUUAUUUUAAAGAACUUUAACAACUCGUAUCUCCCGCGGGGGAAACAUCACUGGCCUCAUCGGCACCUCCAUUCAUCGUCGCCAUUUUUACCCUUUUCGGGCCACUUCCUCCGGAUUACCCGGACGUUUUCGGAGCCUUCUAUUUUCUCGGUAGAUUUUAGACUGGCUUCGGGUCGGUUCUGGCUAGCGCGCUUUAGGGUGCGUUCCUAAAAUCAGAGAUUUGAAAGCACUUCGCUUAACCAUUGCUGACAUCAAAAUUUUUCGCUUUUAAGAACGAUAUACGCUUCUCGAAAGCAAAAUGGACGACCUUCUGUUGACAGCAGCUA